rnacentral:sRNA from 1 species
GCUGGGCGUGGUGGAGCAUGCCUGUAAUCCCAGCAGCUCAGGAGGCUGAGACAGAAGAACUGCCGGUUCAAAGCCAGCCUUAGCAAUGGUGAGGUGCUAAGCAACUCAGUGAGACCCUGUCUCUA